rnacentral:rRNA from 1 species
AGUGAACGCUGGCGGCAGGCCUAACACAUGCAAGUCGAACGGAAGCACAGUGCGAGCUUGCGGUUACGGGGGGGGAGUGGCGGACGGGUCAGGAGAAUAUCGGACUCUAGUUUUUCGGGGGGGAUAAGGUAGGGGAACUUACGCCAAGACCGCAGACGACGCAGGGGGGAGAGCGGGGGAUCGUCGGACCGUGCGCGAGUGAACGAGCCGAUGUCGGAUUGGCUGGUUGGCGGGGUAAAGGCCCACCAAGGCGACGAUCCGUAGCUGGUCUGAGAGGAUGAUCACCCGCCCUGGAACUGGGACACGGUCCAGACUCCUACGGGACGCAGCAGUGGCGAAUGUUGGACAAUGGUCGCAAGUCUGAUCCAGCCAUCCCGCGUGUGUUAAGAAGGCGUUCCGUUUGUAAAGCCCUUUUGCUGGGUAUGAACCGCAGUAGGUUAAUACCCCGCUGUUCUGACGGUACCGAAUGAAUAAGCACCGGCUAACUUCGUG